rnacentral:rRNA from 1 species
AGAGUUUGAUCCUGGCUCAGAGCGAACGNNNNGCGGCAGGCCUAACACAUGCAAGUCGAACGCCCCUUUCGGGGGGAGUGGCAGACGGGUGAGUAACGCGUGGGAACGUGCCCUUCAGUUCGGAAUAACCCAGGGAAACUUGGGCUAAUACCGGAUACGCCCUUUGGGGGAAAGAUUGAUCGCUGAAGGAUCGGCCCGCGUCUGAUUAGCUAGUUGGUGGGGUGAUGACUCACCAAGGCGACGAUCAGUAGCUGGUCUGAGAGGAUGAUCAGCCACACUGGGACUGAGACACGGCCCAGACUCCUACGGGAGGCAGCAGUGGGGAAUAUUGGACAAUGGGCGCAAGCCUGAUCCAGCCAUGCCGCGUGAGUGAUGAAGGCCCUAGGGUUGUAAAGCUCUUUCGCACGCGACGAUAAUGACGGUAGCGUGAGAAGAAGCCCCGGCUAACUUCGUGCCAGCAGCCGCGGUAAUACGAAGGGGGCUAGCGUUGCUCGGAAUCACUGGGCGUAAAGGGCGCGUAGGCGGCCGAUCAAGUCGGGGGUGAAAGCCUGUGGCUCAACCACAGAAUGGCCUUCGAUACUGGUUGGCUCGAGACCGGAAGAGGUGAGUGGAACUGCGAGUGUAGAGGUGAAAUUCGUAGAUAUUCGCAAGAACACCAGUGGCGAAGGCGGCUCACUGGUCCGGUUCUGNNGCUGAGGCGCGAAAGCGUGGGGAGCAAACAGGAUUAGAUACCCUAGUAGUCC